GCAUAUCAAUAAGCGGAGGAAAAAGAAACCAACAGGGAUUGCCUCAGUAACGGCGAGUGAAGCGGCAACAGCUCAAAUUUGAAAUCUGGCCCUUUCAGGGUCCGAGUUGUAAUUUGUAGAGGAUGUUUCGGGUGUGGCUCCGGUCUAAGUUCCUUGGAACAGGACGUCAUAGAGGGUGAGAAUCCCGUAUGUGACUGGUAGCCUAUGCUCAUGUGAAACUCCUUCGACGAGUCGAGUUGUUUGGGAAUGCAGCUCAAAAUGGGUGGUAAAUUUCAUCUAAAGCUAAAUAUUGGCCAGAGACCGAUAGCGCACAAGUAGAGUGAUCGAAAGAUGAAAAGCACUUUGGAAAGAGAGUUAAACAGUACGUGAAAUUGUUGAAAGGGAAGCGCUUGCAACCAGACUUGCAUGUAGCUGAUCAACCGGUGUUCUCACCGGUGCACUCAGUUGCGUUCAGGCCAGCAUCGGUUUCGACGGUUGGAUAAAGGCCUUGGGAAUGUAGCUCCUCUCGGGGAGUGUUAUAGCCCAGGGUGCAAUGCAGCCUGUUGGGACCGAGGACCGCGCUUCGGCUAGGAUGCUGGCGUAAUGGUUGUAAGCGACCCGUCUUGAAACACGGACCAAGGAGUCUAACAUCUAUGCGAGUGUUUGGGUGUCAAACCCAUACGCGUAAUGAAAGUGAACGGAGGUGAGAACCCUUAAGGGUGCAUCAUCGACCGAUCCUGAUGUCUUCGGAUGGAUUUGAGUAAGAGCAUAGCUGUUGGGACCCGAAAGAUGGUGAACUAUGCCUGAAUAGGGUGAAGCCAGAGGAAACUCUGGUGGAGGCUCGCAGCGGUUCUGACGUGCAAAUCGAUCGUCAAAUUUGGGUAUAGGGGCGAAAGACUAAUCGAACCAUCUAGUAGCUGGGUUCCUGCCGAAG
rnacentral:rRNA from 1 species